ensembl:snoRNA SNORD59A small nucleolar RNA SNORD59
CCUUCCUUGAUGAUCAGUAAAAUGACUUUCGUUCUUCUGAGCUUGCUGAAGCCAUAUUUAUGAUCUGAGAAGG